GGGGAGCUGGCGCAAUUGGUAGCGCGUCAGAUUCCAGUCAUGGAACGACCUGAAGGUUAUCCGUUCGAGUCGGGUGUUCCUCA